CACGUAGGGGGCAAGCGUUGUCCGGAUUUAUUGGGCGUAAAGAGCUCGUAGGCGGCUUAGUAAGUCGGGUGUGAAACCUCCAGGCUCAACCUGGAGACGCCACCCGAUACUGCUGUGGCUAGAGUCCGGUAGGGGAGCGUGGAAUUCCUGGUGUAGCGGUGAAAUGCGCAGAUAUCAGGAGGAACACCAAUUGCGAAGGCAGCUCGCUGGGACGUAACUGACGCUGAGACGCGAAAGCGUGGGGAGCAAACAGG
rnacentral:rRNA from 1 species